AUGCUCCUCACACCCCUUCCUGCAAACAAAUAGAGAUGAGAAGAUGAGAGAGGGGGCCGGGAGAGGGACCUGAGAAGAUGAGGGAAAGAUAUGAAGCUAUUUGCUUCUGAGUGGAAUGUUGUCUGGUUCAAGGUCUCGCUUGUGAUUUAAGGAUGAUUUGUGCAUGCGUAAUUUUUAUUCCUUGAAUCUAUGAGAUCUCGGACCAGGCUUCAUUCCCCUCAGCAAUAGCUUCAAAUGAUAUCGCGAGAGUUAGGAGCUAGUACUAUAUAAAUUUGGUCUGGCUCUUUGAUUUUGAAAUACUCGUUAGCUGGAGUGUUUGUGAGAUCCCUGGGUGUUCUUAGUAUGUUGUGGGGUACUGUACUUCCACUCCUGGAUCUUAUUACUCCACUGUGCCUUUUUUGUUUGCUUGUUUGUUGGGAAUCGAGGAGCAGCAAAGAUUGGUGUAAUGAUGGCCUGCUUUGACUCCUCUUUCCUCUGUGUAUCUGGCAGGUUUGAGGAUAAUUUGUGGUGCCAGACCUGCUUCAAAGGUUUGGAGAGCUUCCGGACAAGAUCCAGUAUCUAUAUGCGCGUAUUUUCUUCAUGUUAUGUUGGUCCCCCUGGAGGUUGUUACAUAUGUUUUCAAACAUCAGGAGCUCCUGUAUUCCAAUAACAAGAUAACAUCGAUGUAUAAAUACUCCAGUGUGUGUUUGUUCUUCGCAUCAGGCCGGCAGCGCCUGAUAUAUGAGGUGUUGCCUAUUGAUGCAGAGCAGUGUGUGAACUCGUUUGAUGUACGGAGUACGUCUGUAUGGAGAUUUGAAUGGUUCGAUUAUUAGUCUUUUGCCUCUUACAUUUUUGAAGUGAUGUCUGUGUAUGAAUCUUCGUACUCAUAAGAGAAGUAACCUGAUAUAUGAGUUUUUAUUUCUGCCUGUGUAAUCUUUGAGCUACCAAGCAAAUACUGUAUAUUUGAUCGAUGUGCCUUGUACUUCCUUUGUUUCAGAAAAAGGCAAACUGUAUAUACUUUGUGUCGCAUGAACACUACUUGUUG